AUUCACCUAGGAGAGCAAACUCCGAACAACAAAACCGGGCAGGUGGAGCUCGUUAGCCGUGGUAGGCAGUUCGCCUAGGAGAGGGACAACUCCGAACAACAAACACGGGCAGGUGAAGCUCGUUAGCCGUGGUAGGCAGUUCACCUAGGAGAGGGACAACUCCGAACAACAAACCCGGGCAGGUGGAGGUCGUUAGCCGUGGUAGGCAGUUCACCUAGGAGAGGGACAACUCCGAACAACAAACACGGGCAGGUGGAGCUCGUUAGCCGUGGUAGGCAGUUCACCUAGGAGAGGGACAACUCCGAACAACAAACACGGGCAGGUGGAGCUCGUUAGCCGUGGUAGGCAGUUCACCUAGGAGAGGGACAACUCCGAACAACAAACACGGGCUGGUGGAGCUCGUUAGCCGCGAGGCAGUUCACCUAGGAGAGGGACAACUCCGAUUACAAACCCGGCAGGUGGAGGUCGUUAGCGUGAGCAGUUCACCUAGGAGAGCAAACUCCGAAUACAAACCCGGCCUGGUGGAGGUCGUUAGCGUAAGGCAGUUCACCUAGGAGAGCAAACUCCGAUUACAAACCCGGGCUGGUGGAGGUCGUCAGCGUGAGCAGUUCACCUAGGAGAAGGACAACUCUGAUCACAAACCCGGGACGGUGGAGAUCGUUAGCGUGAUGCAGUUCACCUAGGAGAAGGACAACUCUGACCACAAACCCGGGCAGGAGGGGGUCGUCAGCCGUGGUAGGCAGUCCUCCUAGGAGAAGGAAAACUCCGAAUUCAAACCAACACACACACACACACACCAACCGGGCAGGUGGGGCUCGUUAUAGGCGUCGUAGACAAUCCACCAAGGGGAAUCAACGAAAAAAAGGGAUAAAUAUAAAGGAAUAAAAACGAUCGCAAGAAAAGAAUACCAUGAAAUUAGAACAGGACAAAAAAGGAUAAUAUAAAAACAAAACACCAAAGAAAAAGGAAAAUUUCGAAACGCAACAUCGAGAAAAGAAAAACAUGACUCAGAUCAUCCACCUUUCGGCCCUAACAUCAUCAACAUCACCAAAAUUAUGGGUGAGUCUCUUCUGGGAGGAAAGCGGCUCACCCAGACCAACGAAAAACACCAAGAAAGGAUUAUAUAAAAAGAGAAAACAACAACAACAACAUCGAGAAAA